rnacentral:rRNA from 1 species
GAUGAACGCUGGCGGCGUGCCUAAUACAUGCAAGUCGAGCGAACAGACGAGGAGCUUGCUCCUCUGAUGUUAGCGGCGGACGGGUGAGUAACACGUGGAUAACCUACCUAUAAGACUGGGAUAACUUCGGGAAACCGGAGCUAAUACCGGAUAAUAUUUUGAACCGCAUGGUUCAAUAGUGAAAGACGGUCUUGCUGUCACUUAUAGAUGGAUCCGCGCCGCAUUAGCUAGUUGGUAAGGUAACGGCUUACCAAGGCAACGAUGCGUAGCCGACCUGAGAGGGUGAUCGGCCACACUGGAACUGAGACACGGUCCAGACUCCUACGGGAGGCAGCAGUAGGGAAUCUUCCGCAAUGGGCGAAAGCCUGACGGAGCAACGCCGCGUGAGUGAUGAAGGUCUUCGGAUCGUAAAACUCUGUUAUUAGGGAAGAACAAAUGUGUAAGUAACUAUGCACAUCUUGACGGUACCUAAUCAGAAAGCCACGGCUAACUACGUG